GACGUCAAAAACCAUCGCGAGACUUGGCUAGGUUCACGUGACUCUUGGCGCCCAGUGGGCCGCCUUAUUCGGGUUGAGGGCGCAGAGUGGGUGGGGUUUAGUCGGAAGGAAAUGGCGUAGCUGGGCUGCGCCCGGUGCCGGGUGUAGGUUAGUUUUACUAGUUCCGGCUGGGUAGGGGUGUCCUGGGUUUGUUCUUUUGGUAGGGGGAGCUGUUGGUCUUUUCUUGAGGUUCCCGGGGCGUGACCGUGUGUAUCUACUUUAGCGAGUAGUGCUGGGUGAUGGGAAUUAUGGGGUUUAAUGCAGCAUUGGUACCGGUUGUUGGUUCUCAAAGUGUGGCCCCUCUACCAGUAGCAUCGGCGUUGCCUGGUAAUAUAUUACAAAUGUAAAUUUUUGUCAACACACCCGACCCAGACAUGAAUCAGAAACGCUGGGGCUGGGCUCCGCAACCUGUUUUAACAAGCACUCAAGGUGAACAGGAACCUGUCGGUCUCACUGAGCUGAGGGGACCCAACAGUGAUGGCAACUAGGGGACAGGCCCUUCUCACACCUCACCAUUCAGAUGAGACACAGGAACAGAGAGAUCAAGUAGCAUGCCCAAGCUUGCACAGCUGGCAAGUGGCAGAGCCAGGGGACAGAGCUGGGCACAGGCCAGAGGCUGUGUGCACAUCUGCCUCACACCACUUCUCACACCUGGAGGAAUUCUGAGCGCUCAUUAACGCCUGUGACAAGGCCGUAUGGAGCCCUGCUGUGAUGCAUGCCCGGCGCUAGAUCCUACGCUAAGAGC